GCUCCCAGCCGUGACUCACCCCAGAGCCCGGGGUUCCUGCGGGCACCCGCGACUCCGGCGAUUCCCGCGACCGGGUCUCUUCCCGGCGUCCAACCGAGCUCGAAAAACCGUUUUAUGAAGAUGUUUAUGGAAGUGUCUUUUGUAACUUUGCUCAUGCCAUGUAUUCUGUCUGGGAUGUAAUGAUUAAGAAAAUAAAGGAACACAUAAACAGGAACAAAUGAGAAGAAAAUUCUGCGUUGUAGAAUAUCACACAGACAGUGGGUGAAAAUGAAUGAUAUAGUUCUACCCUAUACAUUGUUCUGAGGAGGCGUCAGCUGACCGAUGAACCAAAAGGAAAAAACCAGAACGCCGUGUGGCAGUGCAACUGAAAAUGAGGAAGAGACUUACCCCCCUGUACAUCUCACUUUUGGAGUUCGGUCUGAGUAGCAGACGUCCUGUCCUUGGGAUCAUGUCAGCAGCUCUUUGGUGUGUGAAAAUGUGUGUGAUUUCACUGCCUGGUGUUGACUCUAAACCUGAUAGUUUAGUUCUUAGCUUGAAAACACUUUAGGGCAGUUGUUUUUGCAUCCUUCUGUUUAUUAAAAAAAAAAAAGCCUUUGGAUGA